rnacentral:rRNA from 1 species
UACGGAGGGGGCAAGCGUUAUUCGGAAUCAUUGGGCGUAAAGGGCGCGUAGGCGGCUUGGCAAGUCAAAGGUGAAAUCCCUCGGCCUAACCGAGGAACUGCCUUUGAAACUGCUUGGCUUGAGGCCGGGAGAGGGUAGCGGAAUUCCCAGUGUAGCGGUGAAAUGCGUAGAUAUUAGGAAGAACACCAGUGGCGAAGGCGGCUCACUGGCUCGGUACUGACGCUGAGGCGCGAAAGCGUGGGGAGCAAACAGG